GCAAUGCGUGGCAUACGGCUCAGUAACACGUAGUCAACAUGCCCAGGGGACGUGGAUAACCUCGGGAAACUGAGGAUAAACCGCGAUAGGCCAAGGUUUCUGGAAUGGACACUGGCUGAAACCUAUAUGGCCCCUGGAUUGGACUGCGGCCGAUCAGGCUGUUGGUGAGGUAAUGGCCCACCAAACCUGUAACCGGUACGGGCUUUGAGAGAAGGAGCCCGGAGAUGGGCACUGAGACAAGGGCCCAGGCCCUAUGGGGCGCAGCAGGCGCGAAAAUUCUGCAAUAGGCGAAAGCUUGACAGAGUUACUCUGAGUGAUGCCCGCUAAGGGCAUCUUUUGGCACCUCUAAAAAUGGUGCAGAAUAAGGGGUGGGCAAGUCUGGUGUCAGCCGCCGCGGUAAUACCAGCACCCCGAGUGGUCGGGACGAUUAUUGGGCCUAAAGCAUCCGUAGCCGGUCCUGCAAGUCCUCCGUUAAAUCCACCCGCUCAACGGUUGGGCCGCGGGGGAUACUACAGGGCUAGGAGGCGGGAGAGGCAAGCGGUACUCGAUGGGUAGGGGUAAAAUCCACUGAUCCAUUGAAGACCACCAGUGGCGAAGGCGGCUUGCCAGAACGCGCUCGACGGUGAGGGAUGAAAGCUGGGGGAGCAAACCGGAUUAGAUACCCGGGUAGUCCCAGCUGUAAACGAUGCAGACUCGGUGAUGGGCUGGCUUCGUGCCAACCCGGUGCCGCA
rnacentral:rRNA from 1 species